rnacentral:rRNA from 1 species
UGAACGCUGGCGGCGUGCCUAACACAUGUAAGUCGAACGAUGAACCUUGCUUUUAGUGAGGGGAUUAGUGGCGAACGGGUGAGUAACACGUAGGUGACCUGCCCCAGAGAGGAGAAUAACCAUGCGAAAGCGUGGCUAAUACUCCAUACGGUCGGUUAUUCGAUUAGCCGAUUAAAGCUACGGCGCUCUGGGAGGGGCCUGCGGCCCAUCAGCUAGUUGGUAGGGUAAUGGCCUACCAAGGCGAUGACGGGUAGCUGGUCUGAGAGGACGAUCAGCCACAAUGGGACUGAAACACGGCCCAUACUCCUACGGGAGGCAGCAGUGAGGAAUAUUGGACAAUCAACGAAAGUUGGAUCCAGCAACGCCGCGUGGAUGAUGAAGGCCUUCGGGUUGUAAAAUCCUUUUAAGAGGGAAGAGAACGGACGGUACCUCUUGAAUAAGUCUCGGCUAACUAC